UACGAAGGGGGCUAGCGUUGUUCGGAAUCACUGGGCGUAAAGCGCACGUAGGCGGCUUCUUAAGUCGGUGGUGAAAUCCUGGAGCUCAACUCCAGAACUGCCUUCGAUACUGGGAAGCUCGAGUCCGGGAGAGGUGAGUGGAACUGCGAGUGUAGAGGUGAAAUUCGUAGAUAUUCGCAAGAACACCAGUGGCGAAGGCGGCUCACUGGCUCGAUACUGACGCUGAGGUGCGAAAGCGUGGGGAGCAAACAGG
rnacentral:rRNA from 1 species